CAGCCGCCGCGGUAAUACGUAGGUCCCGAGCGUUGUCCGGAUUUAUUGGGCGUAAAGGGAGCGCAGGCGGUUAGAUAAGUCUGAAGUUAAAGGCUGUGGCUUAACCAUAGUACGCUUUGGAAGCUGUUUAACUUGAGUGCAAGAGGGGAGAGUGGAAUUCCAUGUGUAGCGGUGAAAUGCGUAGAUAUAUGGAGGAACACCGGUGGCGAAAGCGGCUCUCUGGCUUGUAACUGACGCUGAGGCUCGAAAGCGUGGGGAGCAAACAGGAUUAGAUACCCGAGUAGUCCCUGUCUCUUAUAAA
rnacentral:rRNA from 1 species